rnacentral:sRNA from 1 species
GGCUCUGUCCUCCUGGACAUGCCGAAAGGCCGAUGCUGGGACCUUCUCCUGAAGGCAGCCUCUUACUAAGCCUGGUCCCCAGCAUC